rnacentral:lncRNA from 1 species
UUCUUUCACUUAAUAUUUUCAGAGCACCUACCUAUUACAGGCACUGUCACUUCUCACAAAACUGGAACAACUAACUGUUUAUCCAACAUCUGCUGGCUAAAUAAAGACAUGAUCUUCACCUUUUGGGAUUGUUAAUUUAAAAUGGUUCCAUAAGAGCAAUGCAAAGACAGAGAUAUUUGGCAGCACUGCAGCUGGUGAUUUAUAUGGCUUUUCACAACGUGUUAUUUUGGGUAUCAAGGUAUGGAUGCUUAAAUCAGCUGCAGGAAGUAAGAAAGAAGAAAAAAGGAGUGAUAAAGAUAAAAAAAAAUCAACCUUGGUCCUUCCACCAAGACCCAUUAAUUUCCAUAUCAUCAUCUGCAUAAGAGGGAAGAUUCCUACAUGACCAGGUUACUGCAAGGAUGUGAAUUUUGAAUAUUAAAAUAUUAUAUACAAUUGGAAA